UACGGUAGGGGGCAAGCGUUGUCCGGAAUUAUUGGGCGUAAAGAGCGUGUAGGCGGUCCGGUAAGUCAGCUGUGAAAGUACAAGGGCUCAACCCUUGAAUGCCGGUUGAUACUGUCGGGCUAGAGUCCGGAAGAGGCGAGUGGAAUUCCCGGUGUAGCGGUGGAAAUGCGCAGAUAUCGGGGAAGGAACACCAGUGGCGAAGGCGGUUGCCUGGGGCUUUGCUGACGCUGAGGCGGCGAAAGCGUGGGGAGCGAUCCGG
rnacentral:rRNA from 1 species